UACGUAGGGGGCAAGCGUUGUCCGGAAUCAUUGGGCGUAAAGAGCGUGUAGGCGGCCAGAUAAGUCCGCUGUGAAAUCUCGAGGCUCAACUUCGAGCUGUCGGUGGAAACUGUCUGGCUAGAGUCCGGAAGAGGAGAAUGGAAUUCCUGGUGUAGCGGUGAAAUGCGCAGAUAUCAGGAAGAACACCAAUGGCGAAGGCAGCUCGCUGGGACGGUACUGACACUGAGACGCGAAAGCGUGGGGAGCAAACAGG
rnacentral:rRNA from 1 species